GCCGGGGUGGCGGAACAGGCAGACGCAGGGGACUUAAAAUCCCCCGGUUGAAAAACCGUACCGGUUCGAUUCCGGUCCUCGGCACCA
rnacentral:tRNA from 1 species